ACACAAGACGCAGUGCAUAUACUAAAAAUUGUAACAAUACAGAAAAGAUUAGCAUGGCCCCUGCGCGAGGAUGACAUGCAAAUUCGUGAAGCGUUUUUAAAUUUG